AGAGGAAUGCUUCGUGUUGGAACUUGUGAGGCUUGGUGAUCAGAGUCAGAGGGAAGCUUGGAUCCUCUGACCUUCGUAACUUAAGAUCUUCUGGACCUUCAGAGCCUCUGGACCUUCAGAGCCUCUGAUCCUUCAGAUCUUCUGAUCCUUCAGAGCUUCUGUUCCUUCAGAUCUUCUGGUCCUCAGAUCUUCUGAUCUUCAGAUCCUCUGAUCUUCAGAUCCUCAGAUCUUC
rnacentral:lncRNA from 1 species